rnacentral:rRNA from 1 species
UACGGAGGGUGCAAGCGUUGUCCGGAAUCACUGGGCGUAAAGGGCGCGUAGGCGGCUCAUGAAGGCUGUGGUGAAAGUCCGGGGCUCAACCUCGGAUCGGCCGUGGCGACUCGUGGGCUGGAGCACUGUAGAGGCGGGUGGAAUUCCGGGUGUAGCGGUGGAAUGCGUAGAGAUCCGCAAGAACACCAGUGGCGAAGGCGGCUCACUGGCCCGAUACUGACGCUGAGGCACGAAAGCGUGGGGAGCAAACAGG